AUGUCAUGUCAAAAAUAACCAAUCAUGCAGCAUAUGGACCUCACGUCUACGUUUUGCCAUCUGGCGGAUUUUUCACUCGCGAAAACCCUUAUUGGAUUCAGAUUGUGUUGUCAACUUUUUGACCACUUUGAACUACUGACUGUACCAUAUUCGGAACUUAUCGGAUUAUUUCGUGAGUUUCGAACUCAAAAUAAAGAGUGAACAUUAUUAGAAAGAGAUUGAGUGGCAUCAAAAACAUUCUUUAUUUGUAUAUUUUUUAUAAAUCCUACUCUAUCACAAUAUUAUAGUAGGUAAUGCAUUAUCCCACAAAAAUUUACUGUUGCGUGAACACAUGGAAAAGGGCCUUUACGAACAUUGGUCUCUGCGGGAUUUGAACCCGCUACCGGGCGUUGUGGUCUGUCACACGAACCACUAGGUCAUGGUUUAGUUAUGAUCUGCACUGGUUUUUGUAUAACCCGUCCUGUAUAACUGGACUGUCAUGUGAACACACAAGCGUGUGUAUGAAAUUCGAACUCAUCAGUUUUUUACGGGACACUGCAAACUGAAUGUUUGUGUUAUACUACUUACUUAACGGAAUCCUGCAGAAAACGAAAAGUCGUCUUGGGAAAGAGCCCCAUGUUCAUUCACAUCAGUUUUAACAACUAUUAUCUCCUCUCCAAAUCAGCGCUGUCCAGUUAUUUAGAGUGUAUCGCUGUACUUUUAAACUAGUUGGCUGUAGACAUUACAUAUUACGUGAAAAUAUGCGACUUUUUAUUGGUUACCCUAAUAGAUAAUACCCGCCUAUUUUUUCUCUCCUAAUCUUAAGAUUUAAAAAUAAGGUUUAUGCAGUUUUUGGGAAAUAAAUUACUAAGGCAGAUACAAGAGACCGAGGCAGGAGACCACGACCAUUUUGAUUUAUGCCUCCUGUGUAGCCAGGAACUACAGCUUGACCGCCAAUAACCCGACCAAUGAAGGUCAAGUUUGUCCCGGGGGAAAGUUAACUGUCAUUGGACCCGCAACGAAAUUAAUCAGAAGAACAUAGGCGUUCGAAGUUAAGGUUCGACUUCCCUCCAGUGCAAAGCGGAUCACAGGAGACAAAACAAAGGUGUUGUCUUCUGUCAAUCAUGAGUACUACGAUAAAAAAUCUAUGACAGAUUUUACAGCGCCCCUAGCGGUUAUUCUUAAGAACUAAAAUUUGUAAUAGAUUAUACGCCUCCGCUAGCGAUUACGUUUAAUGUAAACUCAUGGUAAACCUUCUGAUACUGCUUAAAUUCAAUUUACGAUCGUAGUCUCCCUCGGUGUCUUGUUUCUGUCUAGACGUGAACGCGUUAUACACUUCAACACAGUAUAAAGGACGUAGCACACUUAUCGACCCGGAAAGGCGUAACCGUAUCAACUCGAUGCGGUCAGUAUUCUUUGUGUGAAACGUACUGCAACGCACACUUAUCCGCACCUUAACGUAAACGCCUCGCCUCGCGGUUGACAGGGAGCAAAAUGCGAUACGGUGUUGACUGUUGAUACCUUUCCGAGUUGAUAAGUCUGCUAUGACCAUCUUUUAUGGAACUACCAAAUUAUUUUUCAGUGAUUAGUAAUAAGUCUAUUGUUUAAAUACGUAAUACUAUUGUUUAUGAUUGUAUUUAAUUUUAAUUAUGUGUUAUUCUUAUUUCCCUUCCACUGCAACGUUUAUUUGCAAACGAAAGUAUGCAGUAUCGUAGUCUAUGGUUUUGAAAUAACGUAAUUAUUUAUUAACUAGCGGCCGCCCGCGACCUCGUUCGCGUGGACCCCGUCUUACCCCCUUAGGGGUUGAAUUUUGCAAUAUCCCGUCUUAGUAAGCACCUACGUUCUAAAAGGAACCCCCAUGCACAAUUUGAGACUCCUAGCACUUGUAGUUUCUGAGAUUUCGUGAUGAGGGUGUCAGUCAGUGAUCUUUCGCUUUUACAUAGAUGUCAAUUUUCCGUUAAAUCUGAGGGCACAUUCCCACUGCAAUCCGGCUUUGCGGGAUGCAGUAAUGAUCACGAAUGAGGAUCCCGCAAAACGACUGUCGUGACUGGCUUUUUUGCUAUAUUGGUCAAUGAUUCAUACAUUUAAUUGAUAUACUUUCAGCCAUUUAUAAAAUGUCUAUCUAAAAUCUAGAUUCUAGAUAGAUAAAUAUCAAAAGAUAAACAUCUAAAUUUUGAUAGAUAUCUAAUUAAUUAAAUCCGUGUUAAACACGGACAGUCAAUUUGCCACAAUCAGCAAUAUCAAACAUAAGUCGCAAAAAUAUGCAGUGCAGUCAUACUUGAGUGUGAAACGACAAUCAAAACUAUUUUAAACUAAGUCUGCGAUUCAUUGGUUGAUUUAAAAUUUUAGAUCAAUCAUAAUAGGCUACCUAGUUUCCUAAAAAAAGCUUUUAGUCCGUAAUUAUAUUAUCGAAAAUUAUUGAACACGUAUUUUUUUAUUUGUCAAUCAAAAGUUCAGCGUGACGUCACAAAGUGCUACACUUUUAAGCACUUCUUGACGUUACGGGCCUCUUCUGAACACUGGCGUGCUUUAUCUCUUUAAAUUCUCAUUAUUUUGAAAAAGUGACAAAUACCUACGUGUCAAGUAUUUUUUGUAAAACGGAUUAAUUCAAACUCUUGCUUUUUUACCCAGGAAACAUCCCUGUUAUGUUUAAAAUGUACUUUUUGCGAAUUCUUUGAAUUUCGUUUCAUAAUAUGGACUGUAGAAAUCUCAAUACUGUACUAGGUACUUUCGUGGGCAAAUAAACAAAAUCAUUUAAAAACUUAAAUCACAACUUCAGUACUGUUUUAAAAUCUCUGACGAGCUUUAAAAGCAAAAUGAUUUUACUUAAUUUACAUAUUUAGCUGCUCAGCUAUUUAUUUUAAUUGUUUUUAUACAUACAUUUUGUAUUUUUAUUAUUUUAAUUUUGAUUAAUUUCAUGUAAAAAAAAUCAAAGGUUAUUUCAGAUUUAGAAAUAUAGUAUUAUUUCAGAUUCAUCAUGUAUCAAAAAUGGAAGGUUCAAAAUAGUACUAUAGUAUUGAUUUAAGCUUAUUUUAGUUUUCAAUAUCUACACAACGAGAAAAUUACGAAAAUAUUGUAUUUUUUUAUAUUUUAAUCCACAUUUUACCCCAUAUUAAUAAUCUGUGACAAUAAUAACUUCAAAGUAAAAACUUUUGGCGCCAAUUCAGUGUUGGACGCAUUAUUGUCGCGGUUUACUUAUCUGUGGAAAUGUCAAUUUUUUCUUACUUAUCUGUGGACAUUAAAAUUUCCCGCCCACUCUAAAAAAUUUGUAAAAAAACCAACUUUAUUAUCUUGGAAAUUAUGUUUAAAAUUGACUAAGCUGUUUUAAUAGUAUUGGCAGUCUAAAGUUAUUUUCUGUUGUAUAGAUAUUGACGAAUAUGUACUAAUAAGUUAGAUAAGAGAAAUCUGUAGCUAGGUCGUCAGUGAUAGGUCAGCUCUGUAGCGAACAAGUUAUGAUCUAAUUUAGAUUAAGGCGUACUCGAAUGUUUAAUCUAUUAAAGUAUUUAAACGAA